rnacentral:tRNA from 1 species
GUCGGAGUGGCGAAAUUGGCAGACGCGCUAGCCUUAGGAGCUAGUGACAGAAAUGUCUUGGGAGUUCAAAUCUCCCCUCCGACA